rnacentral:rRNA from 1 species
CAGUAGCCACGGUAAUACGUAGGUGGCAAGCGUUAUCCGGAAUUAUUGGGCGUAAAGCGCGCGUAGGCGGUUUUUUAAGUCUGAUGUGAAAGCCCACGGCUCAACCGUGGAGGGUCAUUGGAAACUGGAAAACUUGAGUGCAGAAGAGGAAAGUGGAAUUCCAUGUGUAGCGGUGAAAUGCGCAGAGAUAUGGAGGAACACCAGUGGCGAAGGCGACUUUCUGGUCUGUAACUGACGCUGAUGUGCGAAAGCGUGGGGAUCAAACAGGAUUAGAGACCCGCGUAGUCCCUGUCUCUUAUAC